GAUAAUUUUAGCUCUGCGUGUCUUAGCAGGGCUCCAUCUCUCCUGCCACCAAGCUGGCUCCAGACAGAGGCCAGUUGGGUCCUUCGGCAGCGAGGCCCUCCGAUCCUGACUGGAGAGCACCUACCAUGGGAUGUACCAGGAAGUGCCACUGGUGACGCUAUAUCUCCUUGGCACUCCCCUGCCAAGCUGGAAUUUAAAGUGCUGACAAGCUAUCUAUACCCUGUUUUUAAGAAAUAGACACCAAGUUGCAAACUAUUGUCAAGUUAAUUCUCAUUUUUUCAAAUAUCACCACUGCCCUUUACUUGCUUUGUGAACUCAGGCAGUGUUAACAAUCUCUCUCCCUCAGUUUCCUCGUCUUUAAAAUAAGGAUGCUAAAAAUCACCUAUCCCUUAG
rnacentral:lncRNA from 1 species